GCUCCCAGAAUUCUUUGGGGGCACCAGAACUGUUUAAAGUGUUUAAAUGCAUGGUGCAAAUGUGGCAUCCGUUUUGCACACCACCCAUUUUCUGUCCAUCGCUGCCCAGGACUUUGAUUGAUUGAAAUAUUUAUAUAUUGUUGCAUUAAAAAAUAAUAAUAUCACAGUGUUUUACAACAAUAUAAAAAGAUGAAACCCAACAAUGACAGCAAAAAAUGUUAAAAACUAGUUAAAAGCAAAAAGAAAUUGAAAACAAGAAAGUUACUCCAAGAAAGUUACCCAACACCUCCAGAAAGAUAACGGACCAUCUUCCCUAAUUUGCUAGAUGGCUCCCAAAACUUGGAACUGGUCCUCUGCACAGGGGUAGACUUUGGUUUUUCAAAUUCCAGUGGUGUCCUUUGUGAGGCCAAAAUUUGGCGCCCCUGCUUCUCACUUUCCAUCCUCCUUAGUUCAUUACAUCACAGUUGCGGUGCCCUGCAGUGCCUCCUAGGUUUGGUGCCCAGUGCAGUGGAACUGGUCGCCCUGCCCUAAAUUUGCCUCUGCUUUGUGUGUUUUUAAAUGUAUAUAUUCAGAACAUAAGGCGAGCCCUGCUGUAUAAAGAGACAAAGGCCCAUCUAGUCUAGCAUCCUGUCUUCAAGUGGCCACUCAAAUGCCUAUGGGAAGACCCCAAACAAGAGCUGAGUGCAAUACCACUCUCCCUUCCUGUGGGAAGUGGUAUUCAGAAGCAACUGGUAUUCAAAAGCAUUACAGCCUCUGACAGUGAAAGUAGAAUCUAAUGGCAAGGAGGUACUUUGCCUUUAAGUUAAAGAUGGUCAUGGUGACUUAUGAUAAGUACUGCCUCAGGGGAGCCUUGGUUAUCCAUCAGCCUGUAUUGACUUGGUGGUAAACUAUCUGCAAAGUUUGCACUGAUCAAACUUUCCCAGUCUAUCAGAGACUUGCAGUCCCCUUGUUUAUUGCAUGUAUGCUCCUGGCAAUCAGAAUAUGCCACCCUGACCCACACAUUCCAUAGGCACUCCUUUGUCCAUUCUUCUCCUGAUGACUGAGUUCAGGUCACACAGAAUGAGAAUGGCAUCAUAUGAUGUCCGUUUCCAUUCAGGCCUUGGGUGUGUGAAGUCUGCGUUCCGAGGGAUCACAAGAUAGCAAAGAGUGGGUGGCCUUGCAUCCUAUUGCGUAAGGUUGAGUGAUCAGAGGCACAGUUUGAGCCAGCUUUUCCCUUAACAGGCAGUUUUGAUUGACAGAUGAUGCUUCUGAGGCAGGCAUCCAGUGUAACUAUGCUGAGCACCCUCUGCUAGAUCCCAAACCUGUCCCCACACCAGACCACUUGAAAACUGCUGAGGAUCUUAGUGGACUAUUUAAUUUUUCUUCUUCUGCCUGUUGUAGCAAUAGCAAAGUGCUGUUCUAAAUCCCAUGUGGUUUUUAUUUGCAUUUUAUUGCUUCUUUGAUUUCUUAUUGCAGAAUUUUAUAGAAUUCAGAUGGUAACUUUCCUUCGCAGACAAGCCACGGACCUCCUGAAUGAAGAUCGUCAACGGUGAUCAGUGGUCCACAGUUUGUAAAUCUCUGCCUUAGGAUGCUUAACACAGUCUUGCUGGGAAAGACCUCUGCCAAAAAACUGCUGUGUGUAUAAAUAAAGCAGGUGUUUAAAUAGCC